CAUAGCUUAGCCUUGAAUACGGACGAAUUAAGGGCGAAUCAGCUCCGUUGCCUUAUGAUCACUUAUGAUGUUCACAUAAUUAAGUUUUGAGGAUUUUUAAAAGGCGGUCCCAAAUCCACGUGCAGCCGCGGAAGAAAUAAAAGAUAAAUGUGACAAGAGAUACAAUUUUGUUUUGAUUUUGACAUACCAAAGGCCUGUCAAGAAUCGCCAUUAUGCGCCAAAUGUACCUGCUGUUUAUCUGACUGAGGCUGGUGUCCAGAGUGACUCAUAAGUUCUGAUAAACGUAGAGUAUUUAUGGGCUGUGAUAGUUAACACGUCGGUAGUUAGGAAAAUGUAUGGCUCGCGACUAACCGUGUCACUUUUAUCAUUCCGCCCUUAUGUACACCGAUUAAAGUUGAUAAUUUUAGGAACCAGUUAACUAUUCAUUACAUCUCUGCAAUAACGACUGUAAAAUGCAACUAGAGAUUUUUUUUCAGAAGCGGAUCCGUCGAUGGUCCUACACGAUUGAGCGCCGGACUGUUAACAGUGCAAAACCUGCCCUCAGUUUACGCGGUUAACUCGCUUGCACCACAGCUCUUUUACAGGCAGGAUUCCUGAGUCGAUCAUUGUGGAUUUCCUACCUCGGACCCAAUUAAGCCAAGAGAGCCACACUCCUCCCAAGCCCAGCCUUCCUGUCACAGCUACCCUCCAUAAGGACAAAGCCAACCUUCCAGUUUUCCCAGCUGAUGUCCUCAUGCCGAUUUUUCCCAAGGGUUUGGCAUGUCAAACACUCUACGUUGAAAAAUGGUAACAGCAAGCAAAUGAAGUCAACCUGAAUGAAAUAGGAAAACUUCAGAAUUUGAGAUCGGACCGCUUUGCGCGGAAAACCUUCUGAGACAAAGAUCACUGAUCAGAGGGCGCGUGUCACAGCACUGAGAAUCAGGACGACCAGUUCUCAGCUCCGACGGGGUUGCAUUGAAACACUGGGUUUAGAAAGCCGGAAUUCUGGGGUGGGCCCUACAGGAACGAUUCGGAGAGGGUUUGGGAGUGCUGUAGGAUGGAUUUUUCAGGAGAGCAAGGACGGAAAGGAGACGCGAAAACUGCAUCACUAACAGGACAGAAUCUACUUAAGUGUGAGUCAUUUUGGGCACAGAUUCAACCUGUACUACCUGAAUAAACAUGAAGUACCUACUUCGAUUUACUUUA